CGCUCCCCCUGGCCCAAGACCAUUGGAUCCCUCUCUUUCGGCUGAAAAGCAGGAACUCAGCUCCCCACUUCUUUUCCUUUUUUCCAGCCGACAACAGGCCCUCCUCACAAGGAGGAACCCCUAUUUCUUGUCAUCUCCAGCUACACACCAGAGGGGGGGGAUAGUCCCAGAUUUUUCUUCUUCCUGACAGCCGUGGGCAGGGGCCCACGGCUCCCCAAUCUCACUUCCUUCUCUCACAGCCAUCAUCAGCCCUGCCCCUCUCAUCGCCAUUUCCCCUGCCAUUUCAGCCUUCCACCUCUGCCUCUCCACCCUCACAGCAGACCAGCCACAAGCCUCACGUCUGCCCCUGACAUCUCCCCCCUGGAUUUUCUUCUCUACUCCCUCAACUGCACAGCCGGCCCUUUCCCCUUGAUUUUUUUCCUCUCAUCUUCUUCCCCUCAGCAGCCGGCACAAACAGCAGCCCAGCCCUCCUAGACCCAUAUAGACCCAGCACCAGCUCCCACAGCACCGUUUCCCUCCAGCUUCUUCACCCAAAACCAUCCUUCCAUCUCCAAUUUUCUGCCCACUCAAGACAGCCCCUCACCUCCUCUCUUACUCCGAUCUUCACUCAUCAAUCGGCCAUAGACCAACAACAGCCACGAAUUAGCUCCCCCUUCCACAGAUCCUCUCUCUCAGCUGCUCCCUUCUCCAGCCGCAGCGGCGCCUUCUUCAUCCGGCAGCACCCAGCAGAGCCUUCCUUCUCCAGCUCCUCCCUCACAAAUCGCCCUGCAGCCGACAUCCAGCAGCGAGACCCAAGACCAACAGCAGCGAAGGAAGACCAUCAACGCCGGCCCCCAGCGGUGGCAGCAGCAGCAGCAUCGCCCACAGGCGCGGAGUAGUCCGCCUUCUCCCUCCGGUGGCGCCUGCAGUUUCGGUUUCCUCAACUCUCUCCUCCUGAACCAGCGGCCAGCUCGCCGCCUCUAGCAGCAACACCACUCUCUCGUCUGUUCCUCCUUGCCGCUCCAGCACAUGGAGCAGAGGAGAAGAAGAGGAUGACCGAAGGAGACCGAUCUGCAGUGAAGCAGAUCCAAAGAACCCGAACGAACCAGAUUUGAAAAGGGGAAAGGAAGGGAAGCCGAUCUGAAAACAAGAUUAAAACAGACUUGCUUGUUGCGUUUUGUUGUUUUGCAGGUAACGGCGUUGUCGCCGCCGGCAAGGAAGAGAAGAGGGGAGAAAGCCAUUUCUGGCCCCCCUGUUUCUGGUUUGAUUUCACGGCGGCGCGUGGACCCACGCGCCGCCAGCGGCGGUGGUGCGUGAGAUCCACGCGCCGCCACUGUCCUUGCUGUUCCAGAGGUCUUCACAGCACUAUUCCAGCGACUCAGAGGUUACCAGCACUGUCCCGGAUUGUUUUGGGUCAUUUUUUGGAAUUUUAGAAUUGUUUAAUGUUAUAUUUGUGUAAUUUUGAGUUUUUCUUUUCAUAGUUUGUAUUUUAUAUUUUAUGUAAAUGUGGAUGUAGAAGAAAAGAAAGAAAAGAAAAGAAAAAGAAAUGUUUGUGUGUGUUUGUUUUUUUUUUAUUUAUAUUAUUGAAUUAAAAAAAAAAAAGGACAAAAAGAAUUAAUUGUUAAUUUAAAUAUGCACAAAUAUCUAAAGGACAGAUAAAAAUCAUGUUGUAUUUCCCAUAAAAAUGUAGAACAUGUAUCUACAUAUAUUUUGGGAAUGAAUAACUGAUUUAUCAAAGCCUUAGAAUUGGGCUAAAAUUUUAUUUUUAAAAUGCAUCAAGUCCACGAAGCAGCUUACCUCAGGUAGGGUGUGUUAGGGGUGCUAAUACCUUCCCUAACCACAACCAGUCCCUUACCCAUGAAUCUCUGACAAGACCAGUAUAUCCGGUUUCCUAGUAGCCCGCAAUUAAUUACUAGGUGGCGACUCCAACGAACCAAGUAAAACGAACAACGAUAAAAUCGCCAGCCGAUGCCGCGCGGAUUUUUUUGACGUGCGACAGAAUGGCGACUCCGCUGGGGAAGGUAUUGUUUCUGACGAUAUUGGACUAAGCUUUGUGUAUUUGAUGUGUUUAUGUUUUUGCAUUUUUGUCUUGUUUUAUUUUUGUUUUAUUCAUGCAUUUUGUAGAAUUGUCUCAUGCAUCACAUAUUUUGAUUUUUCAAAGCACACACAAGCUUCAGGUUAGGAGGGGGACUAGCAGCUUACCUUAUGACUUUUAGUCAAGGUUUAAGUUUGUGUAAACCCCAACUCUUUGUUGAGUGCUUAGACUGGUAAUAGUUGGACAUGUGCCAUCUCAUUGCCUACAAGCCCCCAUAUUGCCUCCACGAGGGCAAUCACUGGGACAACAAGAGACCCUUUUUAGAGACCAAGUAGUAAACCUAUCUUUUGUCUCACUUAAAAAGAUUAGAACCUGCCUUUAGGAUGUGUGCUCCGUAUAUAUUGUUUUGCAUCAGGGCAAACCCUUCUUGAAGCAUCUUGAACUCAAGACUUUUGGGUGACCCAAUGGCCGUCACUCAGAAAAUUUUCAUUGUAGAGUUUGGGCAAGAAUCAAGAUUCUUGUUUCAUCAUACAAGAGUUACGACCAUAUGUCACCCCUCGAAGGGCGAGUUCUUCAUAUAGUUUACAUGUUCAUACAUUUAUCAUGCAUGUACCGGGAGGAAAAAUAGGUUCCCCCAUCCGAGCUUUGCUACACCUGAUUGAACAAAGAUGAUGAGAAAUGAAGAAAGGAGUCAAAGAGAAGCUCAUUAUCAAAGGGGAGUUGAGAGCAUCAAAGUAGCUAGACUCAGAUCUCCCUAAACAAGUGUUAAGCAUCAAAUGGAAAGAGAAUGUCUGCACAAUCUUCUGUGGAAACACUGCUUGUCCACGUCCAAGUGAAGCUGCACCUCUCCAUUUCAGUCCUGAACAACAACAGCAAUGCCUUCAGUCAUCAACUAAUGACAACUCUGUUCUUGUUCAGUUGCCCUGUUAAUUGUUCAUCGCCUCCACAUCUUUCAAUGGCACCAAAUAAUUGCUAGCCUUCUGUGCAUGAUGCAUUAGCCUUCUUUGAGGUUACCCUCACUGUGAGCUUAAUUCCAGUUCAAAAAAAAACAAAAAACAAAAAAAAAACAAAAAAAACCAUGAUUAGACACUGAACUUCAAUGUGGCAGAGCUCUCUCUACAAAAAUCUGUUUAUGGCUCUGCAAGUUGGGAAUGCAAGAGGGGAUUUAUAAGUUGCAUAUGCUAUAAAAAUCUCUCAUCAGUUUCAGCACAAAAACACUACAGUAGGUUGAAGAGCCAGACAUGGUCUGAAAAACAUGAACAAACACCAAACUUCUACGUUGCAGAGCUCUCUCUGUAGAGAUUGUUUUGGGGAUCUGCCAGUGGGGAAUGCAAGAGGGGAUGCAGUACUUUCAUAUGCUACAAAACUUUGGCUCAUCAGUUUCAGCACUGAAACACUGGAGUAGGCCGAAGAGUCAGACCUAGUCUGAAAACAUGAGCAGUCGUCGAACUUUGACGUGGCAGAGCUCUCUCUACAAAAACCUGUUUAUGGCUCUGCAAGUGGGGAAUUCAAGAGGGGAUGUAGUAGUUCUAGACAAUGUGAAAAGUUACCCCACCAGCUUCAGCAUCGAAACACUGUAGUAGGCAGAAAAGCCAGACUUGAGCUAGAAAACAGGAGCAAAUAUAGAACUUCACCGUGGCAGAGCUCUCUCUGCAGAAACCUGUUUGUAGAUCUGCAAGUGGAGAAUCCAAGAAGGGAUGCAGUAGUUUCUGAUCAUCUAUAAUUUUCUCUCAUCGGUGUUAGCUUGAAAAUGCAAAAGAAGGGAAAAGAGACAAACCUCGGCUGAAAAAUAGAAAGAAGAUUGAAACUUCAACAGAGCAGAGCUCCCUCUACAGGUGUCUGUUUGCUGCACCAUCAGUGAGGAAUCAAAGAGGAGACAAAGGAGUUUCAGAUUCAUCAGUUUCUCCUCCAAUAAAAACAAUGCACAUUUCAUGCAGUGACAGUGAUAGCGCUGCAUGAUUCUAUGCGCUGGCAAGAUUACCUAGCUGUUGGAAGGUUUCCAACAAUCCACAAAGGACCACAACAACAUUGGAAGAAUGACAUGAUGUUGUGAAGAUCAUCAAAAGAAUUGAGCUAGCUGUCAAGAUGGGAAAGAUUGAAGGAUCUGCCAUGGAUUCCAGAACUGUGAAGAGAUGAAUCAGGAGAUGACUCUGAAAACGGGAAACCAUAGUUAUGUGGUUUAGUCAAGUCUCACUGUAGCACCAGCUACUCAAGUGUCGUUGCCAAGAUUGACAUCUUUCUGCCACCCAAGUUGGACUACUAGCAUCUGUCAGAUUCCAGACUUUUUGCCUAACUCUGUUAAAUCCCAUGCAACCACUGUUUCUUAUGUGAUCCAAACAAGAGAUUUGAAUAUCAUGGGGGGAUUUCAGGCCAUUCAGUUGAAUAAUUGCAAGAAUCGAGUCCGCAAAUUGGUGAGCAAAAGACGAGAGGAAUCUGUGAAGGAGCUUGUCAUCGAUCAUUUUAUCGCCAGAACAUCCUCAGAAUGACGAGUGAUCGAAAUUGCUCGGUAAACACAGAUAUUGCCAGAAUAGUUGAUCCAAGAAGGGCGUUGAACUGUCAAUCAUGUUGUUAUGGAAUUUUUGCCAUUCUGCAUUUUGUUUUGGGGUCACAUCUCAUCCUUGAACGAAACAUGUCUUUUCUUUGUCUUUUUGUUGUUUUGAAAUCAAGAGAUGCUUCUUUCAAAGGGUAUUUUGACAAAAAUAUUUUUUUGAUCAAACUCCAACAUACAAAAUUAAAGCUAGUCAAUCCUGAAGAUUAAAAGUGUUUUGAUUGCGGAAAUGACUUGAUGCUUGAAAAGGACAUGAGGUGACCAAACAAUUUUGAACUCAUAUCUCCUGAAACUGAACAACACAUCAUAUAACUAAGUUUUAGCAGUAUGCAUAAUGACAUGUAGUGGAUUCGGUAGUUAUGGACUCGUGAAUCAUGACUCUUACAAGUCCAAAUCAUUACACUAGAUGAGGUCAAAAUUUAUCGAUUCUAACCGACUUUGCUUGAAAUGAGAAAAGGCCAUCUUCGAUAUCCCUUCACUUUCUAAAGAUUAUAUCCCUUGCAGUCCUAUUUUGAGCCUGGUAAAAUAUUCUCUUUCAAAAAGAAACCUUGACUAGGAUCACACCCCACACUGGGGGCAAUGAGAGAUAUGUUAUUAGGAAGGAUGAAGACACUGAUAGAAUCAAUGAUAAAAGAAAGGCUUAGAAUAAAAGCCCAAUGAUUGAGAAAGGGAGAACAAGAAAAGCCAUAGAUUGAGGGUCAUCCAAGAAAACUUUGAGGAAGGUUAUGUAAAAGCAAAAAAAAAAAAAAAAGGUGGAAAUGAAGGAGAAUGCCUAUCAAUUCUAAGAGGGGCAAAAAAGGUUUCAAUGGAAGAAAGACACAACAAAUGUCAAAAGUCAACACCAAAAAAAUCAAGUUUCAUGUCUUUUGGUGUGUCUAGGAUAAAGCCUUUAGUGUCUUCAAAAUUUUUUAGAUUCAUUAUUCAUCAGAGAUAAAGUUGGAUUAGCAUUAUGACCUAUGUUAAGAGAAUUCUGAUAUUUGAGAUAAACAAGGUUAUAUAUCACUUUCUCUACUAUGACAACAAGAGAAAGAGAGUUGAUGAAUAGUUGAUGUUGAUCUUAGGUCUUUGAAACCCUCAAACACCUAUUGAGCUUUGAAAAUUCCUUUCUUUCAUAGCCAUGAACCAUAGCCUACAUUACGUGCUCUUAAAAGCCCUUUUUAAUCAAGUAAACAAUUUGAACCGAUAAAUGGCGCUCUAAAAAACUUGAAGAGUUGUUCUAUAAGGGUCGUGACUUCAUGGAUUAAGCUACUGGUUAUUAUGCAUGCUGAUAAAAUUGAUGCUAAAAAAAAAAGAAAACAAUCUUUCUUGAUGAAUCCUCAAGUUUUGACUUGAGCCUUUUGUUUCUUGAAAUUCACAGAAGGUCACCUCAUCGCAGACCAUCAAAAGAUAUACCCAAGAUCAAAGAUUAAAACUGACAAAGAACCAUGAAAAAAAACCAUUUUAGUCUUACAACGGGUCAAUUUCUGUUUUCAAAAUACAUGACAAUCAAAGGACUGUAUAUUUCGAAUAACGUGUGUUGGAUCUUUGGCCGAAGAAACUUGAUUUUCAAAAACUAACAUCUCUCUGAUUUCAUUUCAACAACUAGACUUUGAAUUGACAUGAUCUUUGAAAUAUGAGAGUUGAUUCCAGAACAAGAAAGAUUGUUAAACAACAAGAACAUCGACCGAAUUUGCAAAAUCCUUGACAAGAAUGACAACAACAUUUCUCGACACUCCUUGAAAAGUUGACUGCUUGGAGGUAAUACAGUGGAUCAUGGGUAGGAAAACAAACAGUAUUCAGAUCAGCUGGGGGCAAUGAAAGAUGAUCAAAGGAUGAAUCAAUGCACUGAGGACAAUGGUGUUUAAAGAAAGCUAAUCAGCAGAACAAGCACAUUCAGAUCAUUACUCGGGGCAAUGUUGUUCAAAGACAGUCAGUGAUUUAGUGAACUUCAGCAGCAAUUGAUGAGCAACGCUGCACUUGAAGGGCAUUUUAUUAUCUUCAUCUUGGGGUUACCCUUUGAAACAUGGCUAUGACAGAUGUUAUCUCAUAGUUGCAUUAGAAUGAAUGUCAGAAAGAUGCACACCACCAAGACUGACUGUGGGACCAUCUAUUCUGAAGCUCAAAUGCGCACUUCACCGCAUGAAUAUGGGUGAUGAACAUCAUUGAUGAUGCCAACACAUUUCCUUUCAUGAUCUGAUUUGACAAGCUGAGAAGAAUCCAUGGAGAAGAACAUUGAGCUUACAACGAUGAGCCUUUUUUACUGCAAGAGGAUAAUUCUUAGAAGGAUCCAGGAGAGAAAAUCCUUCACGAUGAAUCAAGCAACACCACACUUGGGGGCAGAGUCAAGUGAUAAACAGCAAGAGCAGUAACCGUCGAAGACAGCCCAGGAUGUGCACUGCACUUACAACUGAGGGGAUGGCUAGCACAUGAAUGAGCCAAUGCAUCGAAAGAACCAAUAAAGCUUUGGAAUGCAAACAAAGGCACCCUAUAACGAUGGAUCAUCAAAGGGAGGGGCCUAUAUUUCACAUCAGGUAAGGAUGCAUGCAUGUCAUCUAACCUCAAAGCAUUGCACAUACUUGUGAUUUGUUACAGAAAGAUCCUCAAUGAAGUCCAGCAAGAUUAUGGACAAAGAAAGAAUCAUUGAGUCGAUAAUAACAGAGAAUCAUGGUUGUGACCUUGAAACGGGAAGAAGAUGAGAUAAACCUUACUGUUAGGAAAAUCUCAAAGAAAUGAAAAGAUCAACCUUGCAAUCAGAAAGCAUCGAGUUUUCAAACCCUGCGAUCAAGAAUUAUCAAGAAGCACCAAGUUUUCUGCCCUUCUUCUAUCAUCCCUUCAGGACUUCGCCAGGUAAGUCCCAUUUUUCACACUUGUCACAUCACAUCUUUCAUUUGGGUAGGUCACCCAUAACAAUGAGACCAUUUCAUAUUUUUUCUAUCCUCCACCUGGGUAGGUCACCCAUUACAAUGAGACCACUUCAUAUUUUUUCUAUCCUCCACCUGGGUAGGUCACCCAUAACAAUGAGACCACUUCACAUUUUUUCUAUCUUCCACUUGGGUAGGUCACCCAUAACAAUGAGACCACUUCAUAUUUUUUAUAUCCUCCAUCUGGGUAGGUCACCCAUUACAAUGAGACCACUUCAUAUUUUUUCUAUCCUCCACCUGGGUAGGUCACCCAUAACAAUGAGACCACUUCAUAUUUGUUCUAUCUUCCAUCUGGGUAGGUCACCCAUUAUAACGCGACCACUUCACUUUUUUUCUAUCUUCCACCUGGGUAGGUCACCCAUUAUAACACGACCACUUCACAUUUUUUCUAUCUUCCACCUGGGUAGGUCACCCAUUAUAAUGAGACCGCACUUCACAUUCUUUCCGUUUGGGUAGGUCACCCAUCAUAAUGAGACCAUUUUCCAUCAUUUUUUCUUGGGUUCGUCACCCAUACAAUGAGACCAUCAUUUUUUUCUUGGGUUCGUCACCCAUACAAUGAGACCAUCAUUUUUUUCUUGGGUUAGUCACCCAUACAAUGAGACCAUCAUUUUUCUGGGGUUCGUCACCCAUACAAUGAGACCACCAUUUUUCUUGAGUUCGUCACCCAUACAAUGAGACCACCAUUUUUCUUGGGUUCGUCACCCAUACAAUGAGACCAUCAUUUUUCUGGGGUUCGUCACCCAUACAAUGAGACCAUCAUUUUUCUGGGGUUCGUCACCCAUACAAUGAGACCAUCAGUUUUCUUGGGUUCGUCACCCAUACAAUGAGACCAUUUGUUCCACAUUCUUUGUUUUGGUUUAAUGAGGUCGCCAGAUGGGAUCUCAUGUAGCUUUGGUUAAAGGGAAUCGCCAGAUGGGAUUUCAGGUUAACCGAGUUACGUAACAUCUUUUAGUUUUGGUUUAAUGAGGUCGCCAGAUGGGAUCUCAUGUAGCUUUGGUUAAAGGGAAUCGCCAGAUGGGAUUUCAGGUUGACCGAGCUACCACACAUUUUUUUAGUUCCAGUUGAAUGAGGUUGCCAGAUGGAAUCUCAUGUAGCUUUGGUUAAAGGGAAUCGCCAGAUGGGAUUUCAGGUUGACCGAGCUACCACACAUUUUUAAGUUCAAAUUGAAUGAGGUCGCCAGAUGGGAUCUCAUGUAGCUUUGGUUAAAGGGAAUCGCCAGAUGGGAUUUCAGGUUGACCGAGCUACCACACAUUUUUUAGUUCCAGUUGAAUGAGGUCGCCAGAUGGGAUCUCAUGUAGCUUUGGUUAAAGGGAAUCGCCAGAUGGGAUUUCAGGUUGACCGAGCUACACACAUUCUUUGGUUUUGAAAAAGGAGAUCGCCAGAUGGGAUCUCAAGUUAACAAAAAAAAAAAAAGGAAAGAAACAUUUAGAGUUUUUCUUUACAAAGCUUACUAUGCGAAACAUUGAGGAGUUUUGCUUCGUAAGCAUUGUAAAGAGGGGGCAUCUGUUGCUACCCAAUUUUUGACCCAUGUUUUGAUAAAUUUUUAAAAAAAUUCAAAAAUAGCGAAAAACAUUGAAAACCCAAAAAAUACAUUUUUUAUAUAUUUGCAUCGUUUUUAGCAUUUUCAGCGUCGUCUAAAAAGAAUUUAAAUUUUCAAAGGUCUUUCGAACGCGUUCAACUUUUAACGCGUUAAUUUUAAAAUCAUUGAUUUUCCUCAUUGAGUCGACGUUGAUAUUGCUCGUUUUCAAAAAUACAAAAAAAUUAAAGAAAAUCAAAUUUAAAAAAAAAAAAGAAAGUUGAGGAAUCAAGUUUGAGGUCCAAACAAUAUUUUGCGGAAUUUUAAAUAUCAGAGGGGGAGGCAACCAGCCGCUCCCCCUGGCCCAAGACCAUUGGAUCCCUCUCUUUCGGCUGAAAAGCAGGAACUCAGCUCCCCACUUCUUUUCCUUUUUUCCAGCCGACAACAGGCCCUCCUCACAAGGAGGAACCCCUAUUUCUUGUCAUCUCCAGCUACACACCAGAGGGGGGGGAUAGUCCCAGAUUUUUCUUCUUCCUGACAGCCGUGGGCAGGGGCCCACGGCUCCCCAAUCUCACUUCCUUCUCUCACAGCCAUCAUCAGCCCUGCCCCUCUCAUCGCCAUUUCCCCUGCCAUUUCAGCCUUCCACCUCUGCCUCUCCACCCUCACAGCAGACCAGCCACAAGCCUCACGUCUGCCCCUGACAUCUCCCCCCUGGAUUUUCUUCUCUACUCCCUCAACUGCACAGCCGGCCCUUUCCCCUUGAUUUUUUUCCUCUCAUCUUCUUCCCCUCAGCAGCCGGCACAAACAGCAGCCCAGCCCUCCUAGACCCAUAUAGACCCAGCACCAGCUCCCACAGCACCGUUUCCCUCCAGCUUCUUCACCCAAAACCAUCCUUCCAUCUCCAAUUUUCUGCCCACUCAAGACAGCCCCUCACCUCCUCUCUUACUCCGAUCUUCACUCAUCAAUCGGCCAUAGACCAACAACAGCCACGAAUUAGCUCCCCCUUCCACAGAUCCUCUCUCUCAGCUGCUCCCUUCUCCAGCCGCAGCGGCGCCUUCUUCAUCCGGCAGCACCCAGCAGAGCCUUCCUUCUCCAGCUCCUCCCUCACAAAUCGCCCUGCAGCCGACAUCCAGCAGCGAGACCCAAGACCAACAGCAGCGAAGGAAGACCAUCAACGCCGGCCCCCAGCGGUGGCAGCAGCAGCAGCAUCGCCCACAGGCGCGGAGUAGUCCGCCUUCUCCCUCCGGUGGCACCUGCAGUUUCGGUUUCCUCAACUCUCUCCUCCUGAACCAGCGGCCAGCUCGCCGCCUCUAGCAGCAACACCACUCUCUCGUCUGUUCCUCCUUGCCGCUCCAGCACAUGGAGCAGAGGAGAAGAAGAGGAUGACCGAAGGAGACCGAUCUGCAGUGAAGCAGAUCCAAAGAACCCGAACGAACCAGAUUUGAAAAGGGGAAAGGAAGGGAAGCCGAUCUGAAAACAAGAUUAAAACAGACUUGCUUGUUGCGUUUUGUUGUUUUGCAGGUAACGGCGUUGUCGCCGCCGGCAAGGAAGAGAAGAGGGGAGAAAGCCAUUUCUGGCCCCCCUGUUUCUGGUUUGAUUUCACGGCGGCGCGUGGACCCACGCGCCGCCAGCGGCGGUGGUGCGUGAGAUCCACGCGCCGCCACUGUCCUUGCUGUUCCAGAGGUCUUCACAGCACUAUUCCAGCGACUCAGAGGUUACCAGCACUGUCCCGGAUUGUUUUGGGUCAUUUUUUGGAAUUUUAGAAUUGUUUAAUGUUAUAUUUGUGUAAUUUUGAGUUUUUCUUUUCAUAGUUUGUAUUUUAUAUUUUAUGUAAAUGUGGAUGUAGAAGAAAAGAAAGAAAAGAAAAGAAAAAGAAAUGUUUGUGUGUGUUUGUUUUUUUUUUAUUUAUAUUAUUGAAUUAAAAAAAAAAAAGGACAAAAAGAAUUAAUUGUUAAUUUAAAUAUGCACAAAUAUCUAAAGGAC
rnacentral:lncRNA from 1 species